rnacentral:lncRNA from 1 species
AGUGAAAGGUAUUUCUCAGAGAUGGGCCCAAAGCUGCUUCUGUUUCCUUGUGGCCUCAGGCUGGCUCUAGCUAGUAGGACACCAUGACCCAGAGUAACUAAAGGGAAUUAUUGGCAUCCUCCCACGAGCUCCUACCAGGCCAGUGCCAGAAACACUCAUCUACUCCCUUAUGGAAGAUCACUGAGUCAUGAGAUCUGUGGUUUGUCUGAUUCUCCACUUCCCGAAGCCAGCCAAGGCUAACCGACCUGGGAUUCUGAGAGACUGUCCAGGAAAUAAGUUGCCCUUGGAAACCGAAGCCCAGAGGUAAACAACUGAGAAGCUCACCAACCAGUUGGAGAAGUUUCACUUCCUCUGCAGAAUGUGGGUUUUGGAAUAAUAAUGCUCUGCUUUAUAAAUUGCAUUCCAGUUUUGAGA